GAUGAACGCUAGCGGCAGGCCUAAUACAUGCAAGUCGAACGGUAAAUAUUUUAGCAAUAAGAUAUGAGAGUGACGUACGGGUGCGUAACGCGUAUGCAACCUACCCAAAACAGGAGAAUAGCUCGGGGAAACUCGGAUUAAUACUUCGUAAGAUAUUGAUCUGGCAUCGGAUUAAUAUUAAAGCUUCGGUGGUUUUGGAUGGGCAUGCGUCUGAUUAGUUAGUUGGUGGUGUAACGGACCACCAAGACGAUGAUCAGUAGGGGAACUGAGAGGUUGAUCCCCCACACUGGCACUGAGAUACGGGCCAGACUCCUACGGGAGGCUG
rnacentral:rRNA from 1 species